GGGAUAUUGUCCCAGAGGUAGACAAAGGAGUACUUCUGGAUAAAGAGGGGACAGAUGUGGCCCAUAGGCAAAUGCCAGCUUAUAUAGGUAUUUAGCUCGUCACUGGCCACUUAGUGAAGGAACACCAUCUCCGUCUUCUAACGCACAGAAUACAACCGUUAAAAGAAACUUUACAUUAUGGUUUCUCCCCCCACUGGAGAUCAGUCGAGGACCUUGCGCACAUGCUAGGAUUUCCAGCACAACGUCAAGAAGAGAUGCUGAAGGAGAACACCCUGUCUUUUUUGUUUUGUUCUGUUUUUAUGUUAGAAGAAAGAGUUUCCGUCUUUGGCUUUAAGGUUGUGCCUGCCCUGGCAGGUGAGAAGAUAGUGUACCGAGAGAUCUUUAGGCGAUCAGAGUAUUGAGGCCUUGGAUCCCACGGGCUUCUCCAGGAAUGUCAUCUGAGGAAAGGAAAAUGCUGAGGCCCUGGUGCCAGCCAGAGGAGGUUUCCUCCCUGAAUGAGAUGCCACACCCCGUGACCAGGACUGCUUGGCUGUGGGUGCCGCUUGCCUUCUGUUUAAACCCAGACCUCGUGCCAGGAUCCUGAGGAUGGACCUGGGAGGCUUCACAGGUCC